AGUGGCUCUGGCUUCACUAGACACUUUGUAUCCAUAGAAUUGGGGGUUUGGACCAGAUACUCUCUGAGGUCCUUCUCAGCUCUGACAUUCCCUGUUUUAAGCUCCCUCCCAGCUCUGACAUUCCCUGUUCUAAGCUCCCUCCCAGCCCUGACAUUCCCUGUUCUAAGCUCUCUCCCAACUCUGACAUUCCCUGUUCUAAGCUCCCUCCCAGCUCUGACAUUCCCUGUUCUAAGCUCCCUCCCAACUCUGACAUUCCCUGUUCUAAGCCCCCUCCCAGCCCUGACAUUCCCUGUUCUAAGGGUCCUCCUAGUUCUGACAUUCCCUGUUCUAAGAGUAUUCCCAAUUCUGAUAUCUUCUGUUCUAAGCUCCCUCCCAGCCCUGACAUUCCCUGUUCUAAGCUCCCUCCCAGCCCUGACAUUCCCUGUUCUAAGCUCUCUCCCAACUCUGACAUUCCCUGUUCUAAGCUCCCUCCCAACUCUGACAUUCCCUGUUCUAAGCUCCCUCCCAACUCUGACAUUCCCUGUUCUAAGCCCCCUCCCAGCUCUGACAUUCCCUGUUCUAAGCUCCCUCCCAGCCCUGACAUUCCCUGUUCUAAGGGUCCUCCUAGUUCUGACAUUCCCUGUUCUAAGCUCUCUCCCAACUCUGACAUUCCCUGUUCUAAGCUCCCUCCCAGCCCUGACAUUCCCUGUUCUAAGGGUCCUCCCAGUUCUGACAUUCCCUGUUCUAAGCUCCCUCCCAGCCCUGACAUUCCCUGUUCUAAGGGUCCUCCUAGUUCUGACAUUCCCUGUUCUAAGAGUAUUCCCAAUUCUGAUAUCUUCUGUUCUAAGCUCCCUCCCAGCCCUGACAUUUCCUGUUCUAAGCUCCCUCCCAGCUCUGACAUUUCCUGUUCUAAGCUCUCUCCCAGCUCUGACAUUCCCUGUUCUAAGCUCUCUCCCAGCCCGGACACCCCUGUUGGAAGAUUCAGCUCAGCACAGGCAUGAGAGCCAGGCCCUCACCUCCAAGUAG
rnacentral:lncRNA from 1 species